rnacentral:rRNA from 1 species
AGUGAACGCUGGCGGUAGGCCUAACACAUGCAAGUCGAACGGCAGCACAGUAAGAGCUUGCUCUUACGGGUGGCGCGUGGCGGACGAGUGAGGAAUACAUCGGAAUCUACUUUUUCGUGGGGGAUAACGUAGGGAAACUUACGCUAAUACCGCAUACGACCUACGGGUGAAAGCAGGGGAUCUUCGGACCUUGCGCGAUUGAAUGAGCCGAUGUCGGAUUAGCUAGUUGGCGGGGUAAAGGCCCACCAAGGCGACGAUCCGUAGCUGGUCUGAGAGGAUGAUCAGCCACACUGGAACUGAGACACGGUCCAGACUCCUACGGGAGGCAGCAGUGGGGAAUAUUGGACAAUGGGCGCAAGCCUGAUCCAGCCAUACCGCGUGGGUGAAGAAGGCCUUCGGGUUGUAAAGCCCUUUUGUUGGGAAAGAAAAGCAGCAGGUUAAUACCCCGCUGUUCUGACGGUACCCAAAGAAUAAGCACCGGCUAACUUCGUG